rnacentral:SRP_RNA from 1 species
GCUGGGCGUGGUGGCGCACGCCUGUAGUCCCAGCUACUUGGGAGGCUGAGGCAGGAGAAUCGCUUGAACCCAGGAGGCGGAGGUUGCAGUGAGCCGAGAUGGGGCCACUGCACUCCAGCCUGGGCGACAGAGUGAGACUCCAUCUCAA